AUUGAACGCUGGCGGCAGGCCUAACACAUGCAAGUCGAGCGGAUGAGGGGAGCUUGCCCCUGGAUUUAGCGGCGGACGGGUGAGUAAUGCCUAGGAAUCUGCCUGGUAGCGGGGGAUAACGUCCGGAAACGGGCGGUAAUACUGCAUACGUCCUGCGGGAGAAAGUGGGGGAUCUUCGGACCUCAUGCUAUCAGAUUAGCCUAGGUCGGAUUAGGUAGUUGGUGGGGUAAAGGCCUAACAAGGCGACGAUCCGUAACUGGUCUGAGAGGGUGAUCAGUCACACUGGAACUGUGACACGGUCCAGACUCCUACGGGAGGCAGCAGUGGGGAAUAGUGGACGAUGGGCGAAAGCCUGAUCCAGCCAUGCCGCGUGUGUGAAGAAGGUCUGCGGAUUGUAAAGCACUUUAAGUUGGGAGGACGGGCAGUAAGUUAAUCCCUUCCUGUUUUGACGUUACCAACAGAAUAAGCACCGGCUAACUUCGUG
rnacentral:rRNA from 1 species